UAGUACUAUAAAAGGGGGCAUGUUACAAUCACAGCAUUACUUUAGUUGCAUCUUGUUAACAAAUCUUAACCAAUCCUAAACAUGAAGGUUUUCAUUCUUCUCGCUGCAGUUGUAGCAACAACCCUCGCCGCCUUUGACUUCCGUCCUGAGGAUCUUACUGUGCAGGUGGAGAAUGGACCCUCCGCCAACAUCUUCGAGAUCAUCGGAAAACUCAUCGAGAUUGGUCUUCCAGUAGCCUGCGGCCCUGAUGUAGCUGCACUCCUGGAACUACUCAAUCUCCCUCAAGAGUUCGUGGGAAUUAUUAACAUGGCAAAAGGCAUCCUGUGCGGUGGAUUUUGAUCGAUCUAUUAAUCGACCAAAAGUAAAGAUGACGAGGAA